rnacentral:rRNA from 1 species
AUUGAACGCUGGCGGCAGGCUUAACACAUGCAAGUCGAGCGGGGUGAUGGUGCUUGCACUAUCACUUAGCGGCGGACGGGUGAGUAAUGCUUAGGAAUCUGCCUAUUAGUGGGGGACAACAUCUCGAAAGGGAUGCUAAUACCGCAUACGUCCUACGGGAGAAAGCAGGGGAUCACUUGUGACCUUGCGCUAAUAGAUGAGCCUAAGUCGGAUUAGCUAGUUGGUGGGGUAAAGGCCUACCAAGGCGACGAUCUGUAGCGGGUCUGAGAGGAUGAUCCGCCACACUGGGACUGGGACACGGCCCAGACUCCUACGGGAGGCAGCAGUGGUGAAUAUUGGACAAUGGGGGGAACCCUGAUCCAGCCAUGCCGCGUGUGUGAAGAAGGCCUUAUGGUUGUAAAGCACUUUAAGCGAGGAGGAGGCUCUUUUGGUUAAUACCCAAGAUGAGUGGACGUUACUCGCAGAAUAAGCACCGGCUAACUCUGUGCCAGCAGCCGCAGUAA